ensembl:lincRNA
GGAUGUUUAUUAUGAACCAAACUUUGGAAACUUCAGAUGUCUUGCCUGUGUAAGUCAUACACUGAGAGUGACCAAACAGGCAGAUUAGACUUUAGAAUACAGACAUCAAGAUGGCCUGCGGUUGGCUGUGCAUGUUCCAGCUGGGCUCACUGGGAAUACUGUCUCGAUUUCUGACAUCGUGGCAGGCAUCCGAGGAACCAGCGAGCUGUCUCGGAAGUCCAGGUCCCCAGACUUCUGGGUCUGUUAAGCUCAUUUUCUUCCCUUUGAUCCCUGGCUCCAGGAGUGGAUGGAAGCUGCUUCCCGAAGUUACUAUCUCUGUGAGUAGAGUCUUGUUUUUCCUUUUCAGUCUUCCAAUACCCCUUGAACCAAUUUCUUCUAUUAAAUUCUGUGCUUAAAUAACUAGGAUGGUUUAUUUAUUGCUUUGACCCUAAUGUAUAGAGACACCAUGAGUUAACUUCAUCUUAAUAAUGCAGACAUAUCAGUAAAGAAAAUAGUAGUGUUGACAAAACAAUGACCAUCUAAUCAGAUGAGUAAUAAAUUGAAAAAAGGAUGAUUGAAAAUGGAUAGUCUUCCACUACUGUUAAUGAUGAAUCUCACCCCAAGGUUGUAUUGUUCCCUGAGAUAUGAAUUAAUAGUAAUAAUUCAAAGCACUUAACAAGAUGAUUAAAAAUAAACAACAAAAACAUGAAGAAAAACCUGUAGAAUUUUUAGUGAUAUUUAAAAUCAAGAGAUACUUGAUCUUUUACUAAAAUUUACUGCAUGUUAGAUGUUUAGAAACAUCUUUUGAUGUUUAAAGAAUAGUUUCCUGCAUGCAGGCAUUGUUUAUUAUUCUACUUGGUUCACUGCUACACCCUCAGAUCUUAGAGCAGUAUAUGGCAUGUAGCAAUUAAUAGAUUUGUUAAAUUAAUAGUAAAAAAUGAAAAUUUCACAUAUUGGGAAAUUCUCUAUUCUUGUAGUUGUGGUAAAAAUGAUUAGUUAUGUAUGGCAAAUAAUAUGGCGAUAAACUAAUAUGCAUUCUUUGCCUUUGAAAACCCAGAGAAAACAUUGCUGAUCAUUUGAAGAAACAAAUAUUAGACCAAACGUGGGAUGUUUGUUAUAUGUCCUGUUUCAUAGCGCAAUUGGCUUUAUCCUGUCUCAGUUUAUGGUAUGUAUUAGAUUCUCUUUCAGUUAAAAAAAAUGACUUUGUAAUCCAUAGAAUAGAAUAUAUUCAGUAAGAUAUUUUGUAUAGAUUAACUGAUUUCUUUAAAACAAUUAUUUUCUGGAAAAGCUGUUGCUGCUUUGACUAGAAUUUUAGAAAAAUAAAGGAUUGUGAAGGUAGAAUCCGGAGAAAGAACCACAGCUGAAACUCAUUCUCUGCACCAUUCAUAAACAGAAACAUUGCACCAAAGACGUUGAAACUAGAUAUGAUCAAAAUACUGCAUUAUGACAUUGUUGUGGCUACUUUUUUCUUUUAAGUAAGACUUUUAAAUAGUGCACCUAUCAGUGUAAUUCUAAUGAAAUGGAGAGUGACUGUGAAAAUAAUUUAACCGUAUGGAAGUUUAUUCUUAAUUCUGUGGCAAAUUGCCUAAAAGAAAUGUAAAAGUAUAAGAUGAGCUAUGCUUUAUUCUUUCAUAAACACAACUGCUCUAGAUUUGCUGACUUUUAGUAUGAUAGCAAGUAGCUCUCCUCAGUGUGUUACUUAAAAGGUAUUUUUAAAAUAUGCACUCUUAAUUGGUCCCUUCAAUGGAAAGGUGCUGUUUUAAUAGUGAAUGAGGAGUUAAAUGCUUUUCAAAACAAACUCAUGUUAUGGAAAGAACACUUUUGAAAAUGGCAUUUGGGUAAGUUAUAAUUGUUAUGUGAUUUUGUUACUGAAAUCAUCAAAAUAGUAUACUUAAAAUUGGAAAUAAUGUUUUCUGGUUUUGUUACUGAAAUCAUCAAAAUAGUCAGUAUACUUAAAAUUGGAAAUAAUGUUUUCUGACUUGUUGAACAAUAUCACAUGUGUUCAAAACAAUUCUUUAAAAAUAAGAAUGCAACACUUUUUAGUUAGUUUGUAAAAACUAAUGAUUGAAUUCAGGGAGGAUAAAAAAUGUACUUGCUAAAUGUUCACACAAAUCUUUGCCUAAUUGAAGGAUGAGAUUGAAAAACAUGUCAGAUCUUAGUAAGUGUGAGGAGCUUUUCCAUUUGGAUCUACAUACCAUCCUGAAGUUAUGGUUUUUAAGAAAGACAGCCAAAUAUUGAAGUAAACUUGUUUAAAAAAUGGUAUUUUAAAUAUUGUAUUUCAAAGUGUUAAACUUGGGUUUUCAUAGAUAGUGAAAUAUUUUAAUCAUGUCAUUCUUACUAAAAAUAUCUCUGUUAUGUUUAGUGAGAAUAAAUAUACCUUUAUAUUAAAAAUUUAAAAAAAUCAAAGGAUUAAUGUAUAUUAUUCAUCAGUAAUUGAAAAUAUAUGUUGUAAAAAAAAUAUAUAUGUUGUAACUUCUGGGAGGACCUUCAUAGUGUUA